rnacentral:rRNA from 1 species
UACGUAGGUCCCGAGCGUUGUCCGGAUUUAUUGGGCGUAAAGCGAGCGCAGGUGGUUUAUUAAGUCUGGUGUAAAAGGCAGUGGCUCAACCAUUGUAUGCAUUAGAAACUGGUAGACUUGAGUGCAGGAGAGGAGAGUGGAAUUCCAUGUGUAGCGGUGAAAUGCGUAGAUAUAUGGAGGAACACCGGUGGCGAAAGCGGCUCUCUGGCCUGUAACUGACACUGAGGCUCGAAAGCGUGGGGAGCAAACAGG